UAUUAUUACUAUUAUUAUUUAUUAUUUUUAUUAUUAUUAUCAUUAUUAUUAUUAUUAUUAUUAUUAUUUGUUUCUUUCUUUUCUCUACGUACUUCUUUUUAUUUAUUUAUAUUUUUCUUCUUUUUCCAGAGGAUCGUAUCAUUCUCGAUAAAAAUAGAGGACGUACCUGGACAAAGUCACUGGCACAAUCACCGCUGGAUGUCAGAGCGAGUUCGUCACAGAGAUAAAGUGGAUUCAUUUGUGUCUCACUUUGUGUUUCGGAACUCCAGUCGUUACUUUGAAUACCAGAAGUAUCUUCGACAGAUGAUCGACGCGUUGGUUGUUGUUUCUUUAAAUCGUCCCAGAUUUUCAACUACCGGAGAAGGAAGCGCUUCUUUUUUUUUUUUUUUAUGUAAAUGAUAACGAAGAACGGAUAAGUACCAAUUUGUUUCGAAUCGAUGAGAUAAUUCAAUCGUCUUUUGGUUAGCCUUGUUUUACGUGCAUUUUCAUUUUCAGAAGUGAACCGAGAUAUCGAGAGAAAUCGCGGGGACGGAAUUAAAAUCCGAUAUUCCUCGCAUCUCACCAAUCUUUCUGGAGUAUAACACAUGGCUCGUGAUUGUUGAAUUAUCGGUUCACCGCCUGCUAAUUCAUCGUGGAAAUCAUUAUCCUUUGUUGGGUUUAUUGUUGUUGUCAUUGCUGCUCCUACUGUUCCUGCUGUCGUUGCUGCAGUUGCUGCUGCUGUCGUCGUCGUCGUCGUCAUCGUCGUCGUCAUCGUCGUCGUCAUCGUUGUCAUCACCAUCGUCGUUCUUGUUGUUGUUAUACCCUAUGAGAAAAAAGAGAAAAACAAUUUUUUCCAAAAGCAAAUUAUUUAACGAUUAUAAUUAAAACUAUUAAGGUUUCGAAACGAACCGGAUUAUUAAUGCGAGCAUCGUUUUUAAUAAAAUCGAUGCCCAAUUCCUUAGGACGAGUUAAAUUGGAGAGUUCUAUUUUUUCAGAGGUUUCAUCCUCUUCAGAAUUUUUCGAAUAAUCAGAUGCGAAGGUGUAAGCGUCGGCCUCGUCAGAAUCAAUACAGGAUAACAUAGAAGUUGACGAGUUCGAGGAACGACAAUCCUUACUCACGUUUAUUGCCAUGGAAGAAUUAUAUUCAACGUCACCAACGAACCAACCAAAUUCAUCUUCCUCGUUUGAUAGUGAUCGAUCGAUCCUAGCAGUUCCACCACCGGCUAAUCUUCCAUUUAGAUAGAACAUCAUUAACGAUGAUGUCGAUCGCAAACUGUUAAAACAAUUUAUAGAUUGAUUAUUAAUCACUAUCUUCUUGAUCACUAUCUUUUUUUAAUUCCGCUGUUGCAUUAAUUCUAAAUAUAUUUUAAUAUAUUCUAUUUCUCUCUUUUUUCCCUUUUUUCUCCCCUUUUUUUUCUUUUUUUUUUUUUUUUUUUUUUUUUUUUUGAUCGGAAUUAAGGUUAUUAACGUUGUUAAUCAUUUUUAAUCGUACUCAUUAUGUAUAUAUUUAUGUACCUAAUUUCUUCAACGAGAGUUUUAUCGGAACCGACACUACGCGUAAACGAGGAGAAGAAGAUACCAAGUGAUUUUGUUGAAAGUUAAUAUAAACGUCAUUUGACGUAACGCAGACACACACUUUUUUGAAAGUUUCGAAGAACGGGAAGAACGGGAAGAACGGUAAGAUGUUUCGCGACGAAAACGUUAAAACGGUCAAACUGGAUACGUGGAAAGUUGGCUUGGUCAAUGCGAGCGGAUUUAAAACACUUGUACCGCUUCUGCGGCGACAUCGAACAGUCGUGAGUCUUAAAGAAAAAUCGUACGGCUAUGUUGGCAAAGCCAUUUUUGUCUUCUUUUGUUUUUUUUUCGUUUUUUUUUUUUCUUUUUUCUUUUUAA